GCAGUCGACGAACUCUGGUAUUGAUUGGUGCUUGCAUCAUGAUUUACAUUUGAGUGAGUGGCGAACUGGUGAGUAACACGUGGGAAACCUGCCCAGAAGCGGGGGAUAACACCUGGAAACAGAUGCUAAUACCGCAUAACAACUUGGACCGCAUGGUCCGAGUUUGAAAGAUGGCUUCGGCUAUCACUUUUGGAUGGUCCCGCGGCGUAUUAGCUAGAUGGUGGGGUAACGGCUCACCAUGGCAAUGAUACGUAGCCGACCUGAGAGGGUAAUCGGCCACAUUGGGACUGAGACACGGCCCAAACUCCUACGGGAGGCAGCAGUAGGGAAUCUUCCACAAUGGACGAAAGUCUGAUGGAGCAACGCCGCGUGAGUGAAGAAGGGUUUCGGCUCGUAAAACUCUGUUGUUAAAGAAGAACAUAUCUGAGAGUAACUGUUCAGGUAUUGACGGUAUUUAACCAGAAAGCCACGGCUAACUACGUGCCAGCAGCCGCGGUAAUACGUAGGUGGCAAGCGUUGUCCGGAUUUAUUGGGCGUAAAGCGAGCGCAGGCGGUUUUUUAAGUCUGAUGUGAAAGCCUUCGGCUCAACCGAAGAAGUGCAUCGGAAACUGGGAAACUUGAGUGCAGAAGAGGACAGUGGAACUCCAUGUGUAGCGGUGAAAUGCGUAGAUAUAUGGAAGAACACCAGUGGCGAAGGCGGCUGUCUGGUCUGUAACUGACGCUGAGGCUCGAAAGUAUGGGUAGCAAACAGGAUUAGAUACCCUGGUAGUCCAUACCGUAACGAUGAAUGCUAAGUGUUGGAGGGUUUCCGCCCUUCAGUGCUGCAGCUAACGCAUUAAGCAUUCGCUGGGGAGUACGCGCAGCUGAACUCA
rnacentral:rRNA from 2 species